UACGUAGGGGGCAAGCGUUGUCCGGAUUUAUUGGGCGUAAAGCGCGUGUAGGCGGCCAGAUAGGUCUGCUGUGAAAACUCGAGGCUCAACCUCGAGCUGUCGGCGGAAACCAUCUGGCUAGAGUCCGGAAGAGGAGAGUGGAAUUCCUGGUGUAGCGGUGAAAUGCGCAGAUAUCAGGAAGAACACCCGUGGCGAAAGCGGCUCUCUGGAACGGUACUGACGCUGAGACGCGAAAGCGUGGGGAGCGAACAGG
rnacentral:rRNA from 1 species